GUUUAACGAAGAGGAGAGAUAGACUGGAGAGAUACACUCUGUUUACAGACAUUUUAACUCAGUUCUGCAAUGGCUGGAGCUCCAUCCUUGCUUGCCUCCACUCUGGAUGAGCUGUUAGCGGAUGAGCUGAAGAGGUUCAGGUGGAAUCUGUCACAUGAUGUGGCAGAGGGCUUUAAUCCCAUCCCAAGAGGCCAGCUGGAGAACAGGGAUGUGGCAGACACUGUGGAUCUGAUGGUGGGGGCGUACGGAGAGGAAGGGGCAGUGACAGUCACUCUGUAUGUCCUGAGGAAAACAGACAAGAACAAUCUCGCUCAGAGACUGGAGAAAGAGCACAAUGGGAGAAGAGCUGCUGGGCCCAGCCACGUGGAUGGAGCCCCUGUCCAGCCCGGGGCAGCGGCAUCCCAGGUGUCUAUGUCAGCCACCACUGGAGGGAGAAUUGUGGCACCCCAGAUCUCUGGCUGUAAUAUUCAGGGUCCUGUCAACAUGAACUUCAGUUAAGGUUCCUGUGUCUCCUGCUGAAGAUACUGCCAAGAUCCCUCACCCACCUCACCCACCUCAACACCUACGUCACUUCAGGGCUACACCGAGGAAGCUCAACUCAACCCCAGACCAGCACAGAGGCCUCGUGGUAGAACACCCAUCGAUACUGGAGAAGAGACAGGAGCAUCACUGUCUCAGACAGAGUGGAGGCUCCUUUCGUUUCAUCUGUUAAUAAGCGAGACUCGUUUGCGUUUGUUGUAGUUUAGUUAUGUUCUAUGCGGGCUUUGCCCUCUAAUCUAUUUCAAAGUGCAUAGCUGACCUGAGGGUUCUCUGUCUGUGGCUAUUAUUAAGGGACUAGGGGGAAUAUUUACCAUUCAUUAUCAAUAUUUUUUCUUUUGCUAUUUUCCAAAUAAAUCUUUCAUAUGAUAUCUCACUCUUUGCAGCUAUAA